GUAUUCGGGUAAUCGAGCGGAGCGAUCCGUUAGGAAAGUCCUUGCUAGCACAUGCUGAGAUGCUGUAGUGUUUAUGCCUAAUUAAACAAUAAGUUAGGACACUUGGGAAAGUGAUGGCGAAAACAACCCUGUAAAAUGGCGAGUUUUCUUAACGUGCCACAGUGACGAAUUCCUUAGGAAACUUUGGAAAUGAAACGAGGUAAACCCCAUAAGCUAGAAACCCAAAUUAUGGUAGGGGAAUCUUAAACGGGAAAUGAACCGGUUUAAGGCUAUCGUAAGAUAGAGAUAAAUGAUUACCACUUCCUUCGGGAAGUACAGAACAAGGCUUACAGAA
rnacentral:RNase_P_RNA from 1 species